ACAGGCUGACCAGGCCUGUGCAAGGCAACCAUUUUGUUGCAGAUUUCUGUGGAGAAGCCGAGGCCAUCAGCUCUUUUGGGUUGUUUGUGGAGCAAAACUUGGUGAGCUGCUGAGUAUUUGCUUCCCUUGGAACAGGCUGCUCCAAUUUCAGUAAUAAAGUGGGUAGAGUUUGCAAGGAUUAAAAAUGGCUUUCACAGAAAAGAAAAGGACCUAACGUUCGUAAACCCGUGAUCCCCAGCUUCUGUGGGAAACACUUGGAGGUUAAUGUGCUGCUCCUUUGACCACGAAGUUCCUGGUAUGUGAAAGUCUUGCUGGGAAACGUUUAGUUGUUAAUUUGGUCCGAUGAUCCCCCGUGGAGGAAGGGAGGCUGGCUCCCCGGGUUAGGAAUGUGGGGGUGUGCCUCGUGCCUGUGGCUGCAUGAGCCUUUCUGCUUGCGUAUUGGAAGCGCUCUCCAAAAGAGUCAGGAGGGAGUUGUGCAAAACGAUGCUUGCUUUAUUUUCCGAGAGGGAAGCCAGCGUACAUGCAGGGACUCUUUAUCCGUCCUCUUUCCUGUCUGGUAACUUGAGCCCAUGUUAUCUCCUUAAUGUCAUUUAGUCAGUACUUGUUAGACCUUAGCAACCAUGCCACUUUAAUUUCUAUUUCUCUAUAGUUAACUCUGAAAUUUAGUUUCCGCAGUAUAGCAGCCUUUAUAGCAGUGUAGCAGGUUUGGAUAAGCGUGUAUUGUUUAACCUACAUAUGACACCAACGCUGAAAUCCAGCUAGCUGGUCCACACAUAGUGUUUUACUCUAUGCAGACAGUACAUGGGGUAUAUUUAGGGUUAUGACUAUAUUUAGUAUGUUGUUCUGAAACAUCUGACAGCCAUAAGGUCUGGGUUAUGGAGAGUUUGGUUUUUGAGUAUCAGCAGCGAGCUGAAACUUCCCCCUGUGGCAACAGUGUUUGGGCUACAUAAACAGCAAAGAAUUGGUUCUGCUUGAAUUUGUCAUCACUCUGUUGUUGAUUUUCAGUUUCUCUGUGACAAUAGGAACUCUGGAAGAGAAAGAAUAACAUCUCUUUCCUUUGCUGAAUGUAGUAUCAAUGAUGUGGGAAAAGUGGAUAGUUGAAAAUAGCCUUGUUCAAACAGACCUCCCACAGAAGCCUGUAUGAGUCUGGCAGACACUAGAGUUUGAAUAAGUGCUUCAUGAUUUGGUUUUGACUUAAUAGUUCAUAUCAGCAUUUAAAAAAAAAAAACUAACACUACCCCUUCUUCACUGAAGAGCUUUCAACUUUGUGCUCAAUGACUGCAUUUACCUGUUAAUGUACAAGAAGAUUGAUUUUCAUGUGAUUUGCUUCUAAUGUCAAGCCAUAAAGCAGCCUAGAGUCUGAUCCCAGAAGACCUUACCCAACAUUGUCUGCCUGCUGCAGCAAACAGCAUUUCUUGCAAAUAAUUAAAUCCCUGGGGAAUAUCAAUAGCUGGGUUGCUAAUACUGCAUUUAGAUAAGAAGGAGGAACUGUAGGUGAUGUGGGAGAAUUACUUUGAAGAAUCCACUGUCUCUCUAAAGCACUUUCUACUGAGAGCAGAUAUCUAUCAAAUUUUCCUCUUGCCAGUUAAAUUUAGGGCUGAAAUUCCUGCUACUGUAGAGAUUCAGGAGGUCCAGCCCUUCAUGACCACAUCAGCUUGUUGCUGCAGUUGUCUUCUGGAUUGGUGCAGGCCAAGGCUGUGAUCGGACAUGUCCUAAAGUACCCCAGACCUGGUAUGCUCUCCCCACUCCUAGCUGCCUUUAACUGCAGGUACCAGGGCAAGAACUGGAGUUGGAGCUUUCCCAGCAGGUGCACCCUCUUCCCAUCCCUGCUUGGGGCAGCAUCAUGCUCAAAGCCUGUGAACACAGUGUGUUACAGGCUUCCCUGAGCAUGCACUUGCACUUGCCCUUCACAUCAGGAGCAGAAACUUACUGGAUGUGUCUUGAGCCUUCAGUUGGAGUGGAGAUGCUUAAACCCCCUCCACGCAUCCCACUGUUGUGUUUCCAAAGAGCUAAACACUAGCAGCUUCUUCGACAGCUAAUGGGAGCUGCAGUAAGAGCUCAGCAAUCAUGGGAAUCAAGCCUUUAAUUACACUCUUGGGAAUGAAAGGAGAUGUCUUAUCCUGCCAUGAACCUUUAAAAGCCCUGGUAAGUGCAGUGGAAGUGGUUUGUAAUAGCAGGAAUUCAUUUGUUAAUAAACUUCCCCUUGCCUGUCCUGUCACUAAUUCAGUGGGCUUCCAGUGUGAGCCUCAGCUGCAAGAUGGCUGGUGCUCAAGCUGGGGAAAAGCAGCUCAGUGUUUCAGGGGUUUUGGUAGCAUCGUGGUUCUGAAAAAAGCUUCCUAGCUCAUUUUGGUAUAGAUGGGGUAAUGGAUGUACCUAUUUACUAGCUUGAUUAGCAGCUUGUUUCCUUCUGGAGUAAAUGCAUAAUAUAUGUAGAGCAACUGAAAAGUUGUUAGGAGUAAGUUUAAAGAAAAUACAUAGGAAAGAGGGCUUGACUAUAUAGAACACUAACAGGUAACAGUCUUGCACUGGCAGGGAUAAGAAAAAUGUUUUAAUGUGUUUCCCUGAUUACCAAGGAAAUCCCUGUGUGUUUUACUAUUUUAUAUAUCAAAAAUACAAAGUCAUGGAUCUGGAAGUUAGAGGGCUAUCAGUGUUCUUCAGCCUCACCUGGGUCUCAUGGUGCCAGGAAGAGUCCCGUUGGCUCCACUGGUGCUCCUUGCUCGUGCAGCCCGGUGCAUGGUGGCAGUGUCCAGCACGUGUCCCCUCCUGCUUGGCAUUGCUUCCUUGGGGCCUCAGGUGCUGACUCCAUCUCACAGAGUGAGCAGCUGCACAGGGUCACCUCGAGCCAUCCCACAGGCUUCUCAGGGCAGCAGGGGACAUUUGUCCACAUCUUGGGGACUUCAGUUCCUGGUCCAGCGUCUUAGUGCAAACCUGAAUUUGGUGACAGCUGACUGCUGAGCUGGGAACUGAGCUAACCUAGAUACAGACCCAGGAGUGGCAUUCUCCAGGAGGCACCAGGGAGGUGGCUAAGGAGGGUAACGUGUCUUUGUGGGGCUGCAACUGGCUCUGCUGGAACUCAUUGGCCAGAGCCCUGUGUCAGGCUGCUCUCCCUCAUGUCUGGCUGCUACUGCACUCUCUGUUUUUGAAUUUUCCAAUAACUUGUUUCUCCUGCCUAUUUUUAUCUCUUUAUCAUCUGCCACAAUCCCACUGCAGCCUGGCUGUUUGCCACAGAGGGUCUCCUCACCUGACCAUCGCCGCAUUUGGGAACAUUUUGGAGAUUGUUUGCGCUGGCAGGAGGCAGAGCUGCUGUUUGGUCUGUCACAGCAGUGGGUUUUGUGCAACAUGAAUGACAGCUGGCCUUUCUGCUCUGCCACGCAGUGCAGGAUUGACCAGAAGUUGUUUUAUAAUUAAGCUAUAAGACAGGAUACACCAUGUGUUUCUGGGUAACUGAAACAUGCUGUGGGUGACGGUAGUUCUGAGGCAAAAGGAUAAAGUGACUUCAGUGUAAUACUCACCUGACUGAUGUACAUCGCCAGAUCCUGCAGUAUUUUUAUAAUAAUCAUGCUUACUGCUAAGUACUUCACACUCUUCAUCUUUAAAGCAUCUUGCAGACAUUAACUAAUUAAUUGGCACAACAGCCCAGUGAGGGAGGCGAGACCAGGGAGAGAUUAUUAAAAGCAGAGUGGGUCCUCAGGGUAGAAUUAAGUGGAUAAGAUCGGUAACAUUUUAUUGCAUGACUAUUUUAGCACAACAGAAGAACCUGAAGUGAAAUGUAUGAGUUUGAUGAAUGCCUUUCUUGUGUGUUACCCAGGUAGGGAGGAGAGGACCCCCUGUUCCAGGAGGCCCAGCUGUUCCCUGAGUGCUGAACCAUUGAGGACCCUGCAGCGCUGCCUUCGCAGGCUGUUACUCCAGGGCUGCUUGUGCACAUCAGGGCUAUGUUCUACAGCAUGCAUCUAGAAAAGCCACAACAUAAACAGGUCCUUUGCAAAAUGAGACUGUGACUUCCUAGAAUUCUGUGGCUUUUCUGACUUAGUAGAACUCUCUACUUCCCUUAAUGAGAAAUAGCUGAAAUCUCCUGACUUUAGGAGUGACCUACAUGUGACAUCUUUGCUUGAGGGAGAGGUGGGAGUAUUCAGUUAUUUAAGGUUGUCUUUUGAAAGAAAUGAAAUGGUAGAAUACCAGAAUAACUCAUUGCAUCUCACCUGUUUUUUAUCCUCUCCUGAAAGUAAAAAGUUAAAUGUGUAAUCAGAAAUUUCAGAAGUGGUGUUUCUUUUGUUAGUUUAUUUUGGGUAAGUCUUGCUCUUAAAGAGGGGUAGGAGGUUGGUGUUGUUUUCAGAAUGGCUGCUUCUCCAUCUGAAAUAUGGAGAGAUGCUGC